AACACAUGCAAGUCGAGCGGUAAGGCCCCUUCGGGGGUACACGAGCGGCGAACGGGUGAGUAACACGUGAGCAAUCUGCCCUACACACGGGGAUAACUUCGGGAAACCGGAGCUAAUACCCGAUACGACCACCUCGGGCAUCCGAUGGUGGUGGAAAGCUCCGGCGGUGAAGGAUGAGCUCGCGGCCUAUCAGCUUGUUGGUGGGGUAACGGCCCACCAAGGCAACGACGGGUAGCUGGUCUGGGAGGAUGAUCAGCCACACUGGGACUGAGACACGGCCCAGACUCCUACGGGAGGCAGCAGUGGGGAAUAUUGGACAAUGGGCGCAAGCCUGAUCCAGCCAUGCCGCGUGAGUGAUGAAGGCCCUAGGGUUGUAAAGCUCUUUCACCGGUGAAGAUAAUGACGGUAACCGGAGAAGAAGCCCCGGCUAACUUCGUGCCAGCAGCCGCCGUAACAC
rnacentral:rRNA from 1 species